CCUACGGGAGGCAGCAGUGAGGAAUAUUGGUCAAUGGACGAGAGUCUGAACCAGCCAAGUAGCGUGAAGGAUGACUGCCCUAUGGGUUGUACACUUCUUUUAUAAAGGAAUAAAACGAGGCACGUGUGCCUUUUUGCAUGUACUUUAUGAAUAAGGAUCGGCUAACUCCGUGCCAGCAGCCGCGGUAAUACGGAGGAUCCGAGCGUUCUCCGGAUUUAUUGGGUUUAAAGGGAGCGUAGAUGGGUUGUUAAGUCAGUUGUGAAAGUUUGCGGCUCAACCGUAAAAUUGCAAUUGAUACUGGCAGUCUUGAGUACAGUUGAGGUAAGCGGAAUUCGUGGUGUAGCGGUGAAAUGCUUAGAUAUCACGAAGAACACCGAUUGCGAAGGCAGCUUACUAAACUGUGACUGACAUUGAUGCUCGAAAGUGUGGGUAUCAAACAGGAUUAGAUACCCCAGUAGUC
rnacentral:rRNA from 1 species